rnacentral:rRNA from 1 species
UACGAAGGGGGCUAGCGUUGUUCGGAAUUACUGGGCGUAAAGGGUUUGUAGGCGGUUGAACAAGUCAGUGGUGAAAGCCCAGAGCUUAACUCUGGAAUUGCCAUUGAAACUGUUCAGCUAGAGAGUGUUAGAGGAAAGUGGAAUUCCUAGUGUAGGAGUGAAAUCCGUAGAGAUUAGGAGGAAUAUCGAUGGCGAAGGCAGCUUUCUGGGACAUUUCUGACGCUGAGAAACGAAAGCGUGGGUAGCAAACAGG